UGUCAUUGUGUUGAUACUUUGUCAUUGUAUGAUGAUACAAAGUAUUAUCAUAUAAUGACAAAGUAUCAACAGAAUGACA
rnacentral:sRNA from 1 species